rnacentral:rRNA from 1 species
GGGCCAGUAGGUUGGUCGUGCCACCGGUACGUACUGGUCUCACUGAUUCCUCCUUCCUGAAGAACCGUAAUGCCAUUAAUUUAGUGUUGCGGGGAAACAGGACUGUUACUUUGAAAAAAUUAGAGUGUUUAAAGCAAGCUAACGCUUGAAUACAUUAGCAUGGAAUAAUGAAAUAGGACGAUCGAUCCUAUUUUGUUGGUUUCUAGGAUUGACGUA